ACCCACCCCCACCCUCUGCCUAGCGUAGCGCACCGUCCGCGGCGACGGCGGUGUCCGCCCGCCCACCCACCCACCGCCGCACGUUUCCUCCUGCGCGCCGCCUCGGAUCAGCCCGAGCCCACCGCGUCGGCGCCGCCCCCACCCGUCUAAACAACCACGGAGGCCGCGGCCGGCCGCGUCUCUCUCUCUCUCUCUCCUCGCCGAGGCCACCGUCCGUCUCAUCUAGCCGGCCGCGGGGAUGAGGCGAUCGUCGAGCGGGGCGCGCGUGUCGGACAGCGGCGGCGGCGUGAGCGGGAGCGAGGCGGCGCUGCCGACGUAUGACCCUCUGUCGGCGGCGGGGCGGCGGGAGGCGGCGCGGACGCAGGCGCUGGGACGCGCCGUGCACUGCAUCCCUGUCGUGCUUCUCGUCUGCGCCCUCCUCCUCUGGCUCUCCGCCUCCUCCCACACCCACCUCGAUUGAGAGUACCAGCGGGGAUCUUAAGUGAACCUGGCGGGUAGAGUCUGGUUCUGUUACACUUGUACCACUGAAGAGUUCCGAGUUCCAAAAGAGAAAGAGAAAGGUAAAGCAGGCUAGACAUGAUCAUCAGCUGGCAAUACAUAGGUGCGGAUUAGCAUGGAAAGUAGCUCAUUUACUAGCAGGCAAUUUUUUGGAAGUCUUAAGGCCAUACUGAGUUGGACUGGUUUGGCUCAGCGUUACAUACUGUAUACAACGAAUGCCCAAUGUAACCUUUCCCAACACAAUGCUGUUCUGAUA